UUUAAAUGCUAGUCCAUAGAUGGCUCUGGUAUUUUAUUUACACUUGCUCAGUCGAGUAGCGCAGUGACCUUCACGGUAUUCCCUUGGUGUGAGCGUGCAGCAGCUGAUGUGUCUGUUCCCCUCCUUUUUCUUCUCCUCUUCCUUCUCCUCUUCCACCUCCUUCUUUUCGUUCCUUGUUUUCCUCUCCCUUCUCUCUUUUUUUUUUCUAUCCUUCACCUCUGACCAAUUAUUUCUUCUUCUUCUUCUUCUUCUUCUUCUUCUUCUUCUUCUUCUUCUUCUUCUUUCCCUACCCUCCUCCUCCUCCUCCUCCUUAUCCUCAGGACUCUUCUUCCUCCGCGUCACGAAGCCAUGAGUAGGAGGAUUUAUCUUCUGGUGGUGGUGGUGGUGGUGGUGGUGUCAGUGACUGGAGUCUUCUCUGCCGCUCUCCCUCACGCCAACGAGAACGACAGUGAAGUCGACCACCUCCUGAGACAAAAUCAAGAGGCCCAUCCCAGUGACGUUUCCUUCACUAACGAUGAUGAAUUCGGCAACACCGGUUCCAGCAUUGAGUGGGACAGUGCCUCAUUCUUUAGUGGCACAGGAUACAGCGGGAAGCGAUAAGGAGCAGCCAUCUGGAGACUCAUGUGUUUGGUCUCUCAUGAUUUCCUUGUUCCAGAGUUGACUUGUCACUUGUGUUCAAUAAAGAAAAUUUUAUG